UCUUCUCUUUCUUUUGUGCAUAUGCAAUGAAGACCAGCACAUAACUGCUCUCAUUACAGCUCCAGCCCCAUUGAUUGUAGACACCAACAUAUUGUUUGGUGACACAAAUAGUAAGCCAUACCAAUCCAAUUGAGAGAGACAAACAAACCAGUUCAAUAUAACAUACAUCACUUCUACAACAAAAUCUAGAUGAGAUAGGCUUCCAAAUGUAUUUUUAGAGUGGGAAAAUCAUUUCAAUCUUUAUUAUGUUAAUGAACAAAGACCAUUUCUUUCUCUAAAAAUAGAUAGCCACAUCCAAAUAUUUGAGGAACCAAUCACAUUUUAAUAUCUUACUCAUCCAAAAGAAAACUUUUUGGAGAAAGAGAACAGUAUUCGCAUAGAGGAUUCCUAUUUGCUGGCCAAUUUCAGUUGCCUACCUUUGUACUGUAUAUGGAGGAAACACAAGAAGGGGAACAAAAAACCAACAGAAACACAGUAGGCAAAACAAUUUAAAAUAAAAGAAAAAAAAAAAAAACACAAGAAAGACACGUUAUGAAUUAGCUGUAAACCUCUAAUUGGCCACUUAUAAUUAUAUAAGCAUCCAAUUUUAUUUCACCAAACCAAGCCAAUACCACAACCCUGAAAGCUCUCUCUCUCUCUUUUUCCUUUUGAAGAAAAUGGAAAACAAGAAACCGCCACUCCUUGGUAGCCCCAGUAAGCUUGAAAUAAUUGGUUCUGUUAAAUCUUCUGCCUUCUCUGAUGAAUUCUUCCUUGCUAGAAAAAAGGCAAAUGAAGGAUCUGAGGAAGCUACUACCGUUGAUGCAGCUGGAAAGAAGUGAAGGAAUCUGAGAGGGGAGAUGGAGUUAUUUGCCACUAAAUAUGGUCCAUUGUAAUUUGCGCUGAAUAAUAAUUUCUAGUAGUAAUAAAUAAAGUGGCAGUUCCUGUUGUAACUUUUACAAAGUCUAGGAAUAAUGUAAUGAAUAAGAUUUUGAGAA